rnacentral:tRNA from 1 species
AGGAUAAUAGUUAAUUUUAUAACAUUUAAGUUGCAUUUAAAAAUAAUUGAUUUCAAUUUAUCUU